rnacentral:rRNA from 1 species
UACAGAGGGUGCAAGCGUUAAUCGGAAUUACUGGGCGUAAAGCGUGCGUAGACGGUUAUUUAAGUCAGGUGUGAAAGCCCCGGGCUCAACCUGGGAAUUGCAUUUGAGACUGAAUAGCUAGGGUGCGGAAGAGGGAAGCGGAAUUUCCGGUGUAGCGGUGGAAUGCGUAGAUAUCGGAAGGAACACCAGUGGCGAAAGCGGCUUCCUGGUCCAGCACCGACGUUCAGGCACGAAAGCGUGGGGAGCAAACAGG